GAUGAAGAACGCAGCGAAAUGCGAUAAGUAAUGUGAAUUGCAGAAUUCAGUGAAUCAUCGAAUCUUUGAACGCACCUUGCACCCUUUGGCAUUCCGAAGGGUAUGCUCGUUUGAGUGUCAUUGUACUCUCACACUUCUGAUCCUUUGGAUUGGGAGCGGUGGACUUGGGUGUUGCUGCUUUACUGUGGCUCACCUCAAAUGCAUUCGUGCAACUCUUGGUUGGACAUAGUACGGCGUGAUAAGUAUCUUCGCCGGCACCUCGCAAGAGGGUGGCUGAUCAGGAGCUCUGUGCUUUCCAACUGUCUUCAGACAACAACUGACAACUUGACCUCAAAUCGAGUAGGACCACCCGCUGAACUUUAGCAUAUCAAUAAGCGGAGGA
rnacentral:misc_RNA from 1 species